CACUGUAAGGCUCUUUUAGAAUUUAUCUAGCAAGUUUUCUUGUUUUUACCAGAAAACUCCU
ensembl:snRNA RNU7-107P RNA, U7 small nuclear 107 pseudogene